AUUGAACGCUGGCGGCAGGCCUAACACAUGCAAGUCGAGCGGAUGAAGGGAGCUUGCUCCUGGAUUCAGCGGCGGACGGGUGAGUAAUGCCUAGGAAUCUGCCUGGCAGUGGGGGAUAACGUCCGGAAACGGGCGCUAAUACCGCAUACGUCCUGAGGGAGAAAGUGGGGGAUCUUCGGACCUCACGCUAUCAGAUGAGCCUAGGUCGGAUUAGCUAGUUGGUGGGGUAAAGGCCUACCAAGGCGACGAUCCGUAACUGGUCUGAGAGGAUGAUCAGUCACACUGGAACUGAGACACGGUCCAGACUCCUACGGGAGGCAGCAGUGGGGAAUAUUGGACAAUGGGCGAAAGCCUGAUCCAGCCAUGCCGCGUGUGUGAAGAAGGUCUUCGGAUUGUAAAGCACUUUAAGUUGGGAAGAAGGGCAGUAAGUUAAUACCUUGCUGUUUUGACGUUACCAAAAGAAUAAGCACCGGCUAACUUCGUG
rnacentral:rRNA from 1 species